CAGAGGAAGAUUUGCGAAUAAAAUCCACAAGCUUUUGAGAACUUUUAUAAAUAUUUUAAAAUAUAUUUUAUAAGAUAUAUCUAUAUACAAAUAAGAUUAAUGAGUCCUGAAUUUUAAAAGUUACUAAACAUUCAAAGGAUGCAUUAUGUUUCUUUAUUCACAUUCAAUGAAUUUUAUCAUUUCUAAGAGUACAAACCGCUCGUGUACGGUAUUUAAACUAUUAAAAUGCCAACUUCUCACGUAGGAUCGUUGUUUUGCGAUAUUGUUUGGUGUACAUGUAAUGAAUAACAUGCAAUAUAUUGUUGAAACGGAGCAUUAGGACGUUUGUAAAUAUCACGGCGUUUUACAAUGAUACCAGUCAUAGACACUAUUGUCAAAUACUUUAAUCUGACUGUUUCAUAAUCGUUUUUCAUGUACAAUUUUUUUUUCUUUUGACCUGGUGUAAAUAAGGCAUUGACUGUAUUUGACCCGAACUUCAACAUCGUCUUCUGUACUUGCACGUUAAUUUAGAAACCAUAAAUCUGACCGGAUGAUAAGCAGGUUAUUUGAAAAACUACGGGUGUUAGCAAAAUAUACAUAAUAAAACAUAUACAUUUCAAUGUUGGAAUGACAUUUAGCACAUUAUAGCGUGUGAAACAUGUAAAUAUGAUAAAUGUCUUUAUUUUAUUGUAGAACGGAUGUCAAAAUUAGUUAGAUAUUAAGUCGUAUACUGCAGCCUGUAAUAACGUGACACCGUACUUACAGACAUUUGUGGUGCAAUCGUAGAAGAAACUUGAGAAUAUACCAGAUUCAGCAUUUAUGUAAUGGCAGAUUUAACCGAAGUAUGACCUCUCAACAACUGCGAUUUGUAGCAGCCCAGACUGUUUCAUAUUCUCAAGGAAUAGAACAUAUGUGUUAUGUAAAAUGUAUAAGUGUGUGUACUAACACAACGUAAUAUAACAAUGAAUCACAGUGACGAUUCGAAUUAAUAAGCAAAACAUUACAAUGAAAAAUGGCUAUUGAAACUUCAAGGAGGUUAUUGAGUUGUGCUUGGGAAUUCGUUAAUUAAUCAGAUUUAAGAAGAAAGAAAAUUUCUAAAGUGGUUUGACAUUAAACAAAUCAAUAAGAUGAUACUGGAUAUUAACAUAAAAAGGCGUCAAAUAAGGAGUAACCAUGAAAUACGGAUAAAAAACAAGUGAUGCAUCGGAACAAACGCGAACACUUUUUGAAAGUGCAAUGAGGACAUCUGGCAUAAUCAUUGAAGUUGCUGAAGUGAUUUUGAUAUUCUCAAUUCAUCAUGUUUCAACUACAGAUUUUUUUUCAAAGAAUUAAACUUAUCAUUUGAUUUUGCUAAAAUAUAAUUCCGGGAAAUGUAUAAAUAUGUCUUAUCAGUGCUUUGAGUUUUGUGUAAUAUAAUAUUGCGCAAUAUUACAAUAUUUGAUAAGUAUGAAUUUCUGAGACAUAUUGUGCCAUAAACUUCUGUUUGUUCAUAAUCUUUGGUAUUAAAUACUUAAAGGCACGUCAUGCCUCAAAAAUGUUGUGCUGUUAGUUUUAUUUAGGUUUGGUAUCUUGUUACCGUUUCAUAAAAAAUAGUACUCACUCAUUGUCCAUAUAGAACAACUUUGUGAUAUAUUAUGGGACAUAUUGUGCCUUCAACCUUUUUACAAUUUUGAUACUAGCUUUUAAAAUCCAAUAUCUUUCUUUCAUAAAUAUCUUUUCUUUAUAUGUUUGAUAUGUUUCAAUGUUCAAAUUGAUUUUUUUUUUUUGUUUCUGAUUUUCGAUAUCAUUUAGGAAAUUAGAUAUGAGAUCAGAAUUCUCCAUAAAUAAUUUAUUUGUUAUUUCUAUUACAUUUGAUGAAUGUUCAGUAAUACCAACUUUGUCUUUUUUGUGUUUGUUUCAGUAACAAUGCAUGCAAUUUUAUGACAAAAAAUGAAACUUUAAUCUCUUUCUAUGCUAUGCAUAUAUUUUAUUGCAAGUUAAAUGAUUUCUUUUUUCUUUGAAAAAAAUAAUUAAACACAGAAAAACACACAGACAACAUGAAAAAUGAUCUAUGAAAACAUAUCAUUGAACAGGACUAACAUUGUAUAUAUAAACAAAGCAACCUGGUUUAAAACGGCCGAGCAUUUUUAAGAUACUUUCGUUGUUAGAUAAAAUUAAUAGUUUAGUUUCAUUUUCAGUUAUGUAUCCGUUUUUUUUAUUUAAUUUUAACUUGUGUUACAUAAUAGUUAUCAUAAAGUUAGAAAUGUAUAUCUUAUUAUAUCAUUUUUAAAACGCAUUUAUUCUUUUUAAUGAAAUACCUGAAGAUAGUGUAGAACUUCUCACAAUUUGUGUAAUAAAUCAACUUAACGUUUAACUUUCAUUAUUUCAGCGUAAUGCGUAAUGAAUGGACUAUUAGUGCUAGCAUUUCUUAGGUCAGUGUAUUUAUUGACUUCUAGCGAAAAUGAUUAAUGUGAAAUCGACUGUCAGUAAAAUGGACAUUAUUUUACAACUAAAGAGAUUGUACGAUUAGCCUAGAAUGAAAGCUUAUUAGUUUAGCAACCUCUUUGAGUAAAGAUAUUUUAGAACAUUGAAUAAUCACUUUUGGAACAUACAGUUAUCUGUUAAAUGUCUGCAUAAUCUUGAAUAUUAUUUCAAAAUUAUUAACAGUUGAAGAUGUGUCAUAUUACCAUAAAAUCGUUUGAAAUAAAACGUUGGUUGAGUGAGAUCUGUCUUCUUUCUGAACCGGGUUAUAUAAUUAUGAUAUUUACUCAUCAUUAAAACAAUAGAUUUUCAUGACACAAAAAUCACACCAUCUCAUAUAUUAUUGAUAAUGAUAUACCGCAUUUUUAUUACAUUUUAACCAUUUGAUGUUUUUAUCACAUUUCAAUUCACUUUAUAUUACAUCACUAACAUAAUUUAUCUUAUUUUAUCUUUAUUAAUUCAUUUUAUUUAUUUAUUUAUUAUUAAUUUAUUUAUGCAUUUAUAUUUAUUCAUUUAUUUAUUUACUAGUAUUCAUAUUGUUAUUUAUGUAUUUACUUAUAUUUACUUAUUUAUUCAUCCCUUUAUUUAUUUGUUUGUUUAUUUAUGAAUAAUUAAAAAAGUAAAAAUCUUCCUAUCAUUAAAUUCUUUAUUAAAUGCUUUACAUGUAUUUUACGAGUAAAUUACCUGUUCAUUUUGUUAAAACUUAAAAAGAAAAGGAGCUUAUCUUUCAGAUAUUUGUCACUUCAAAUAAUUUAUCGAUGCCCAUACUGUAUAAAUGGGUAAUUUGGAAAC